GAGCAAAAAAAACAAGACAUCAGUAUUGCCGAGUAUUUGCUAGUACCUGGUUCCCAAGCUAAAAAGCAUGCUAAGCCUGGUAGCUUUGGUGCUGGAUCUCUCUAAGACUCACCUUGUUUGGAAACCAAGAAAAAAAAAAAGUAACAGUGAAAGAAAGUCCUAACUCCAUGUGGCUCCUUAAGAAUUGACAGUGAUGAGGAAGGAAGAUGGUCCCCACAGUGCCUGGCACCAGAGGCAGGCGGAGAAGAUUGGAGAAUGUGCUAGAAGCAAGACACCCACGUUAGAGGCCUGAGUUCUGCCUCUAGACUUACUGUGUGGCCUUGAGAGAGUUGACAAAGUUCUCUGUUCUCUUCUGUCUGUUGAGUGUCGUGAGUUGGGAAUGGUUUGUCUUCAGUGCAGCUUACACUGACGGGAUCUUCCUGGAGAGCUGCUUGAGCGCUGC